rnacentral:misc_RNA from 1 species
GAUGAAGAACGUAGCGAAAUGCGAUAAGUAAUGAGAAUUGCAGAAUUCAGUGAAUCAUCGAAUCUUUGAACGCACAUUGCGCCCGCCAGUAUUCUGGCGGGCAUGCCUGUUCGAGCGUCAUUACAACCCUCAGGCCCCCGGGCCUGGCGUUGGGGAUCGGCGGAGCCCCCCGUGGGCACACGCCGUCCCCCAAAUACAGUGGCGGUCCCGCCGCAGCUUCCAUCGCGUAGUAGCUAACACCUCGCGACUGGAGAGCGGCGCGGCCACGCCGUAAAACACCCAACUCUUCUGAAGUUGACCUCGAAUCAGGUAGGAAUACCCGCUGAACUUAAGCAUAUCAAUAAGCGGAGGA